AUUCUUCAACCCUUCAACGCCAUGAAUCUCUGUUAAUUUUCACAAGUCUGCAAAACACGUUUCUUUCUCAACUCUUAACCUCCCAACUUUGUUCAUAUACAUAGGGGAAUACCCUCAAAAUUUAUGCUGCCACGUCACCUAAAAUAAUUGCCCAAUGAAAACCACUUAAACGGCCACGACAGAUGGACUCUCCGUGUUAUUUCUGUCCAGAGUCCACCAUGUAAUAAAAUGGAUUUCUAUUUGGGCUUUGUUAAAUAGCUGGUCCAAGUCUCAUAAAAAGUCUGUUGGAUACUGUUUGUUUAUAUGGCCCAAAAAAAGUAGUUCUGAGAUUUUAUUAGUUUGUCGACCAAACUUUGUCGUUUCAUAGAUUAGGUUUUCAUUGUUCUCAUUCUUCAACCCUUCAACGCCAUGAAUCUCUGUUAAUUUUCACAAGUCUGCAAAACACGUUUCUUUCUCAACUAUUAACCUCCCAACUUUGUUCAUAUACAUAUUUUCGUUUGGGUUUGUUCAACGUAUUCCUCUUUAAUUUGACAAUGAAUUUUUCUUUCCCAUUAAUGAUCUCCAACUCUCCGUCUCCCUUCUCAGACAAUGAAAACCGUAAAUUCACCUCUC
rnacentral:lncRNA from 1 species